GACCUACCAUGAGAAAGUAGAAUCAUCUAAUGGGAUGGUUCUAGUUAUCUAGCAUAUACACUGAAUUUACAGGUGUCAUAUAUAAUAACUACUGAUAGUAACUGAUAUUGAGUCAUAUAAUGUACUAAUCCUUGCCAAUUAUAUUAGUAGUGCACUAUGAAAUUGUUCAUCAACUAACUUGGUUUUCAAUUUAUAAAGUUUGCUUUAAGCUGAUUUUAACAUCUAGAAAAUUUUAUGGUGGUUUCCUACACAAUAUUGCACAUCUAUUGUGCUUAUGAGUCUCCAGUGCUUUAAAAUGCUAAAGUUGGUUCACUAAUGCAAUCAUUUUAUUAGGAGUGGUUUCAUGGUUGAAAAUUCUUGCUUCUCAAGUGAUAACCUAUUAAGUCCUUUUUUAAAAAGCUAAAUUCUCAUAAUUGUUGCAAUUACCUGAUUUAAAUUCUGCAAGUUGCUUUUAUGAUGAUAAAUAAUAGAGCAUACAUGAUUAUGGUGUUCUGACAUGUGCAGUGAACAUCUACUAUUAUCUUUUGUUGGCUUGGCAUGAUUAUUCAUUAACAGCAUUGAAUUGUUAGUUGCAUACUGAAAAUGCUUAGAUUUUCACCCUGAAAGAAAAGAUGUCCAUUUUAUCCAUUGCGUACGAUGAUCCCAUUAUAUUUCUAUGAUCAUUUUGAAACGUGUCAUCU
rnacentral:misc_RNA from 1 species